AUGUGUUUUGGUGGUAGGGGAGAACUAAGAUGUGAGACUUUUUCUCAAAAGUGAUGUUGACCAACUUGGUUUCCUAGUGACCUAACAAUUUAGUGAAGAAACCAGAAGUGUUCCAUUUGUACAAUGGUUGGACCAGUUCUGAACUUUCUCCUGGAACAAAUGCUGAAGAUGAUGGGCCCCACACAUCUAGAAGGUGCCAGGUUGGGGAAGACCUGUUGAAACUUCAUCUAAGUAAAC